UGGGGAAUAUUGGACAAUGGGGGCAACCCUGAUCCAGCAAUGCCGCGUGUGUGAAGAAGGUCUUCGGAUUGUAAAGCACUUUCGACGGGGACGAUGAUGACGGUACCCGUAGAAGAAGCCCCGGCUAACUUCGUGCCAGCAGCCGCGGUAAUACGAAGGGGGCUAGCGUUGCUCGGAAUGACUGGGCGUAAAGGGCGUGUAGGCGGUUUACACAGUCAGAUGUGAAAUCCCCGGGCUUAACCUGGGAGCUGCAUUUGAUACGUGUAGACUAGAGUGUGAGAGAGGGUUGUGGAAUUCCCAGUGUAGAGGUGAAAUUCGUAGAUAUUGGGAAGAACACCGGUGGCGAAGGCGGCAACCUGGCUCAUGACUGACGCUGAGGCGCGAAAGCGUGGGGAGCAAACAGGAUUAGAUACCCUGGUAGUCCACGCUGUAAACGAUGUGUGCUAGAUGUUGGGUAACUUUGUUAUUCAGUGUCGCAGUUAACGCGUUAAGCACACCGCCU
rnacentral:rRNA from 1 species